rnacentral:rRNA from 1 species
UACGGAGGGUGCAAGCGUUAUCCGGAUUCACUGGGUUUAAAGGGAGCGCAGGCGGAUUUGUAAGUCAGUGGUGAAAGGCUUAAGCUUAACUUGGGAACUGCCAUUGAUACUAUAAGUCUUGAAUGUUGUUGAGGUUUGCGGAAUGGGUCAUGUAGCGGUGAAAUGCAUAGAUAUGACCCGGAACACCUAUUGCGAAGGCAGCAGGCUAACAAAUAUUGACGCUGAGGCUCGAAAGCGUGGGGAGUCAAACAGGA